CGGGGGGCUCCAGCAGUAAGGAAUAUUGGGCAAUGGACGCAAGUCUGACCCAGCCAUGCCGCGUGCAGGAUGACAGCCCUACGGGUUGUAAACUGCUUUUAUACGGGAAAAAUUCCCCGGUCGUGAAUCGGGGUUGAUGGUACCGUAAGAAUAAGCAUCGGCUAACUCCGUGCCAGCAGCCGCGGUAAUACGGAGGAUGCAAGCGUUAUCCGGAUUCAUUGGGUUUAAAGGGUGCGUAGGCGGAAUGAUAAGUCAGUGGUGAAAUCCUACAGCUUAACUGUAGAACUGCCAUUGAUACUGUUGUUCUUGAGUACAUUUGAAGUGGGCGGAAUGUGUCAUGUAGCGGUGAAAUGCAUAGAGAUGACACAGAACACCGAUCGCGAAGGCAGCUCACUAAACUGUAACUGACGCUGAGGCACGAAGGCGUGGGGAUCAAACAGGAUUAGAUACCCCCGUAGUC
rnacentral:rRNA from 1 species